CAUGCAAGUCGAACGGAAAGUGCUCAGCUUGCUGGGUGACUCGAGUGGCGAACGGGUGAGUAACACGUGGGUGAUCUGCCCUGCACUUUGGGAUAAGCCUGGGAAACUGGGUCUAAUACCGAAUACACCCUGCUGGUCGCAUGGCCUGGUGGGGGAAAGCUUUUGCGGUGUGGGAUGGGCCCGCGGCCUAUCAGCUUGUUGGUGGGGUGAUGGCCUACCAAGGCGACGACGGGUAGCCGGCCUGAGAGGGUGUCCGGCCACACUGGGACUGAGAUACGGCCCAGACUCCUACGGGAGGCAGCAGUGGGGAAUAUUGCACAAUGGGCGCAAGCCUGAUGCAGCGACGCCGCGUGAGGGAUGACGGCCUUCGGGUUGUAAACCUCUUUCAAUAGGGACGAAGCGUGAGUGACGGUACCUAUAGAAGAAGCACCGGCCAACUACGUGCCAGCAGCCGCGGUAAUACGUAGGGUGCGAGCGUUGUCCGGAAUUACUGGGCGUAAAGAGCUCGUAGGUGGUUUGUCGCGUUGUUCGUGAAAACUCACA
rnacentral:rRNA from 1 species